UACGUAGGGGCCAAGCGUUGUCCGGAUUUAUUUGGGCGUAAAGAGCUCGUAGGCGGUUUGGGUAAGUCGGGUGUGAAAACUCCAGGCUCAACUUGGAGAUGCCACCCGAUACUGCUCUGACUUGAGUUCGGUAGGGGAGUGGGGAAUUCCUGGUGUAGCGGUGAAAAUGCGCAGAUAUCAGGAGGAACACCGGUGGCGAAGGCGCCACUCUGGGCCGAAACUGACGCUGAGGAGCGAAAGCGUGGGUAGCAAACAGG
rnacentral:rRNA from 1 species